rnacentral:rRNA from 1 species
GAUGAACGCUAGCGACAGGCUUAACACAUGCAAGUCGAGGGGCAGCGGGGUUGUAGCUUGCUAUAACUGCCGGCGACCGGCGGACGGGUGAGUAACGCGUAGGCAACCUGCCCUUUGCAGAGGGAUAGCCAUUGGAAACGAUGAUUAAAACCUCAUAAUGCCAGACUGAGACAUCUCUAACUGGCCAAAGAUUUAUCGGCAAAGGAUGGGCCUGCGUCUGAUUAGCUAGUUGGUGGGGUAACGGCCUACCAAGGCGACGAUCAGUAGCCGACCUGAGAGGAUGAACGGCCACAUUGGGACUGAGAUACGGCCCAGACUCCUACGGGAGGCAGCAGUGGGGAAUAUUGGGCAAUGGGGGAAACCCUGACCCAGCAACGCCGCGUGAAGGAAGAAGGCUUUCGGGUUGUAAACUUCUUUUACCAGGGACGAAGAACGUGACGGUACCUGGAGAAAAAGCAACGGCUAACUACGUG